GAUUAAGUUAUUAAGGGCGCACGGUGGAUGCCUUGGCACUAGAAGCCGAUGAAGGACGUUACUAACGACGAUAUGCUUUGGGGAGCUGUAAGUAAGCUUUGAUCCAGAGAUUUCCGAAUGGGGAAACCCAGCAUGAGUUAUGUCAUGUUAUCGAUAUGUGAAUACAUAGCAUAUCAGAAGGCACACCCGGAGAACUGAAACAUCUUAGUACCCGGAGGAAGAGAAAGAAAAUUCGAUUCCCUUAGUAGCGGCGAGCGAAACGGGAAAAGCCCAAACCAACAAGCUUGCUUGUUGGGGUUGUAGGACACUCUGUACGGAGUUACAAAGGACGACAUUAGACGAAUCAUCUGGAAAGAUGAAUCAAAGAAGGUAAUAAUCCUGUAGUCGAAAAUGUUGUCUCUCUUGAGUGGAUCCUGAGUACGACGGAGCACGUGAAAUUCCGUCGGAAUCUGGGAGGACCAUCUCCUAAGGCUAAAUACUCUCUAGUGACCGAUAGUGAACCAGUACCGUGAGGGAAAGGUGAAAAGCACCCCGGAAGGGGAGUGAAAUAGAACCUGAAACCGUGUGCUUACAAGUAGUCAGAGCCCGUUAAUGGGUGAUGGCGUGCCUUUUGUAGAAUGAACCGGCGAGUUACGAUUUGAUGCAAGGUUAAGCAGUAAAUGUGGAGCCGUAGCGAAAGCGAGUCUGAAUAGGGCGUUUAGUAUUUGGUCGUAGACCCGAAACCAGGUGAUCUACCCUUGGUCAGGUUGAAGUUCAGGUAACACUGAAUGGAGGACCGAACCGACUUACGUUGAAAAGUGAGCGGAUGAACUGAGGGUAGCGGAGAAAUUCCAAUCGAACCUGGAGAUAGCUGGUUCUCUCCGAAAUAGCUUUAGGGCUAGCCUCAAGUGAUGAUUAUUGGAGGUAGAGCACUGUUUGGACGAGGGGCCCCUCUCGGGUUACCGAAUUCAGACAAACUCCGAAUGCCAAUUAAUUUAACUUGGGAGUCAGAACAUGGGUGAUAAGGUCCGUGUUCGAAAGGGAAACAGCCCAGACCACCAGCUAAGGUCCCAAAAUAUAUGUUAAGUGGAAAAGGAUGUGGCGUUGCCCAGACAACUAGGAUGUUGGCUUAGAAGCAGCCAUCAUUUAAAGAGUGCGUAAUAGCUCACUAGUCGAGUGACACUGCGCCGAAAAUGUACCGGGGCUAAACAUAUUACCGAAGCUGUGGAUUGUCCUUUGGACAAUGGUAGGAGAGCGUUCUAAGGGCGUUGAAGCAUGAUCGUAAGGACAUGUGGAGCGCUUAGAAGUGAGAAUGCCGGUGUGAGUAGCGAAAGACGGGUGAGAAUCCCGUCCACCGAUUGACUAAGGUUUCCAGAGGAAGGCUCGUCCGCUCUGGGUUAGUCGGGUCCUAAGCUGAGGCCGACAGGCGUAGGCGAUGGAUAACAGGUUGAUAUUCCUGUACCACCUAUAAUCGUUUUAAUCGAUGGGGGGACGCAGUAGGAUAGGCGAAGCGUGCGAUUGGAUUGCACGUCUAAGCAGUAAGGCUGAGUAUUAGGCAAAUCCGGUACUCGUUAAGGCUGAGC
rnacentral:rRNA from 1 species